UACGGGGGGGGCAAGCGUUGUUCGGAAUUACUGGGCGUAAAGGGCUCGUAGGCGGCCAACUAAGUCAGACGUGAAAUCCCCUCGGCUUAACCGGGGAACUGCGUCUGAUACUGGAUGGCUUGAGGUUGGGAGAGGGAUGUCGGAAUUCCAGGUGUAGCGGUUGAAAUGCGUAGAUAUCUGGAGGAACACCGGUGGCGAAGGCGGCAUCCUGGACCAAUUCUGACGCUGAGGAGCGAAAGCCAGGGGAGCAAAGUGGG
rnacentral:rRNA from 1 species